UACGAAGGGUGCAAGCGUUAAUCGGAAUUACUGGGCGUAAAGGGUGCGUAGGCGGUUGUUUAAGUCUGUCGUGAAAUCCCCGGGCUCAACCUGGGAGUGGCGAUGGAUACUGGGCAGCUAGAGUGUGUCAGAGGAUGGUGGAAUUCCCGGUGUAGCGGUGAAAUGCGUAGAGAUCGGGAGGAACAUCAGUGGCGAAGGCGGCCAUCUGGGACAACACUGACGCUGAAGCACGAAAGCGUGGGGAGCAAACAGG
rnacentral:rRNA from 1 species